rnacentral:lncRNA from 1 species
GGCAAUGCGUUUUUAAGACUGCAGUUUCUUUUUUUUUUAAGUUAAAGCGAGAAAACUCAGCCUACUCUUAUAACUUCUAGUGUUUUGAAAAAAGUGUGAGUGAGAAGAGUCGAGCGUCAGUCAGACAGGCCUAAAUGAGACACAUGGAGGGGUGCAGGGCCGACACUCACACCAGGGCGAGCAUUGCGUAUCCUGGGUCAGAGCCCUGACGUUACACUGAAGUUUUCUAGUUCACUUUGUACUAUAUUAUACAUUACUUUUGCCAUGGUAACCCCACAGCUUUCCUAACUCCCACGUGAUCAUGUGGAAGAGCCUGACAGAAAGCGUUGCUCUUUCCUUAUGGCUGUGACCACUUUAUGACUACUUUCCAUCUCAGAGGACGCAUAGCAUCAGGGACUUCACUCUGCCUUUCUUUCCAGAGGCCAGAGACCAAAAUGCACGUGACAGCUCAAGGUUUUCCCAGCAGUUAGCUGCCGCUGCUCACUCUACCCAUAGAAAGAAAAACUGGAAGAGAUUUUACCAUUUGGGGUCACAGUUACUUUUUGAGAGGGGCAGCUGUAACUGUGAAACGGCCCAGUCAGGGAACUUCCUCUGUCUUUAAGAUAAAAAUGCUAAGGGCUAGUGCAAUUGGUGACUGGAGCCUUCCCUCCACCCCCGAGUCCCCCAAAACCCUCUUAUUGAAAUAUCUGCCCCGAUUUUCCAACUCCCUCUCAAAGACCCUUUCUCUUAUAUAACUGAAGUUGGUUUGUUCCACUUUAUUAGGUUAAACCAUAUGAAUUGCCUGCUAUUUGAUCACUUUUUACCCACAAAAUGGUUCAACCUAAUCUAGUUAGAGGUUUCCUUUUGAGCAGGAGAGAGAGAAACAUCACAGUGAAUGAGAACCAGAGACAGCGCUACUUCUUGGAGGAGAGGCAGUGGGGCCAGAGGAAAGGGGCAGGCAGGGGUGCUCAGCACUGUUCCCAGGUGUGGGCACUUCAGCUGGUGCACCGAUGCAUCGACUCCAGCCUCGGUCGGAGCAGCAGAUGCGGGUCGGAGCGGGGAGGACAAACACCAGGCUCCAAGGAACGUCAGCUUCACUGAUGAGUCACGAAACCCUACAAAGUCAAAGCAGCAUCCCGUUAAUGUGUGAUUCAUGCACAUGUUGGUUGCAGCGCAGCACACAGGCUUUUAUUGGGAUUUAUUUACUGGAGGCCACUGAUUGAUGGAACUCUUCAGAUUUUGUAUCUUCUUCAGCAAACAACAUGCUAAAAAGGAUAGACCCUCCUCUCCUUGCAUCCUCAUGAAACUUGCACCAAAUGGCAAGAGAAACCAAAGAAGGCAUUCAAUUCUUGGGCAGUGUUCC